rnacentral:snRNA from 1 species
GUGCUCGCUCUGGUAGGCCAUAUCCUUAAAUUGCCAUGAUACAUGGAAGAUUGGUACUGUCCCCGCAGAAGGAAGACAUAGAAAUAUUUGAAGCAUUCCUUAUUUUG